AUUGAACGCUGGCGGCAUGCUUUACACAUGCAAGUCGAACGGUAACAGGGGAGCUUGCUCCCGCUGACGAGUAGCGAACGGGUGAGUAAUGCAUCGGAACGUGCCGAAUAGUGGGGGAUAACGCACCGAAAGGUGUGCUAAUACCGCAUACGCCCUGAGGGGGAAAGUGGGGGACUGCAAGGCCUCACGCUAAUCGAUCGGCCGAUGUCGGAUUAGCUAGUUGGUGGGGUAAAGGCUCAACAAGGCGACGAUCCGUAGCGGGUCGGAGAGGAUGAUCCGGCAAACUGGGACUGAGACACGGCCCAGACUCCUACGGGAGGCAGGAGUGGGGAAUUUUGGACAAUGGGGGAAACCCUGAUCCAGCCAUGCCGCGUGUCUGAAGAAGGCCUUCGGGUUGUAAAGGACUUUUGUCCGGGAGGAAACCCUGAUCGUUAAUAGCGGUCGGGACUGACAGUACCGGAAGAAUAAGCACCGGCUAACUACGUGCCAGCCGCCGCCGUAAGAC
rnacentral:rRNA from 1 species